rnacentral:rRNA from 1 species
GUUUGUUUGGAGUUAUAAAGAAUUUGACCUGCCCCCUGAUUAACUAUUAAAGGGCCGCAGUAUUAUAACUGUGCAAAGGUAGCAUAAUCAUUAGGUUUUUAAUUGAAAUCUCGUAUGAAUGGUUGGACAAAAGAAAGACUCUCUUUAUAUUAAGUUUUGAAUUUAACUUUUAAGUGAAAAGGCUUAAAUAUUCUAAAGGGACGAUAAGACCCUAUAAAACUUUAUAUUGUUAUUAGUUUUGAUUGAAUUUAUGAAAUAAGAAUUUUAUUUGAUUAUUUGUUAUGUUGGGGAGACACAAGUAAAAUAUUUUUUUAACUGCUUGACAAUUAUACAAUUAUUAGUGAGUAAGUAGAAGAUCCUUUUUAAGAUUAGUAGAUUAAGUUACUUUAGGGAUAACAGUGUAAUUUCUUUUGAGAGUUCUUAUCGAAAAAGAAGGUUGCAACCUCGAUGUUGAAUUAAAAUAUCUAUAUAAUGGAGAGGUUAUAUAAGAAGGUCUGUUCGACCUUGAAAUUUUUACAUGAUUUGAGUUCAAACCGGUGUGAG